UCCUUUCAGAUUCUUUACCUCUCAAACCUAAAUAUUGGACAGAUUGGCUAAAAAGGAAGGAAAAGUAAAACUGAAGUGAACUUGGAGUCUUCAGUGACAUACAAGUUCAUUCCAAACAUAC
rnacentral:snoRNA from 1 species